UGGGGAAUAUUGGACAAUGGGCGCAAGCCUGAUCCAGCCAUGCCGCGUGUGUGAAGAAGGCCUUUUGGUUGUAAAGCACUUUAAGCGAGGAGGAGGCUACUUGGAUUAAUACUCUAGGAUAGUGGACGUUACUCGCAGAAUAAGCACCGGCUAACUCUGUGCCAGCAGCCUCGGUAAUACAGAGGGUGCGAGCGUUAAUCGGAUUUACUGGGCGUAAAGCGUGCGUAGGCGGCUUUUUAAGUCGGAUGUGAAAUCCCUGAGCUUAACUUAGGAAUUGCAUUCGAUACUGGGAAGCUAGAGUAUGGGAGAGGAUGGUAGAAUUCCAGGUGUAGCGGUGAAAUGCGUAGAGAUCUGGAGGAAUACCGAUGGCGAAGGCAGCCAUCUGGCAUAAUACUGACGCUGAGGUACGAAAGCAUGGGGAGCAAACAGG
rnacentral:rRNA from 1 species